AAUGCACGCAAGUGCGAUGGGGGGACUCCGAGUGCAGUCUUCCAAAACGGAAGGCCGCUUUUCUGCACUUUAAGCAGGUGCCGAAACAAGGGGUGGGCAAGACGGCUGCCAGCCGCCGCGGUAAUAGCCGCACCCCGAGUGGUAGUCAUUGUUAUUGGGCUUAAAGUGUUCGUAGCCGGACACACAAGUCUGCUGUGAAAUCCAUGCGCUUAACGUAUGGACAUGCAGCGGAUACUGUGUGUCUAGGAACCGGACGGCGUCGAGGCUAUUCCCGGGGUAGGGGUGAAAUCCUAAAAUCCUGGGAGGAGCACCUGUGGCGAAAGCGCUCGACGAGUACGGAUUCGACGGUGAGGAACGAAAGCCAGUGGAGCAAAGCGGAUUAGAUACCCGCGUAGUACUGGCUGUAAACAUUGUGCGUUUGAUGUCGGACAACCUCCGAGGUUGUCCGGUGCCGAAGUGAAAACGUUAAACGCACCGCCUGGGGAGUACGGUCGCAAGGCUGAAACUUAAAGGAAUUGGCGGGGGAGCACGGUCAU
rnacentral:rRNA from 1 species